CUUAUCAAGAAAGACGGAGGGACGGGCCCUAUGAUGUCUUGGCAACCUUGAAGUGCAAGGUGCCAAAUCCCACUCCAAAUUGGAGGAAGAUGAG
rnacentral:ncRNA from 1 species